UGGGCACUCUGGGCCUCUCAGUCCCAGAGGAAAGGCCUGUCCUCCAAGCCAAUGUGCAGCCUGACUCUGGGGCCAGCGCCUGAGGAAGCCCUCCCUGAGCCCCAGCCCUGGGGAAGGCUGAAGAGGCCUCUGAGCCCCCAGCGCUGGGGAGAGCUGUGCAGAAUAGGACUGGAGGUGGAAGUGUUGGAGAUUAACAGCCAGGUUUGGGGGCACACGUGAAGGUUUGACAUAUAGUAAACACAUGUCAUGGUGGUUUGUUGUACAGAUUAUUACAUCACCCAGGGUUUCACUCCCGUCACCCAGACUGGAGUACAAUGGUGCGAUCUCAGCUCACUGCAACCUCU
rnacentral:lncRNA from 1 species